rnacentral:rRNA from 1 species
UACGGAGGGGGCUAGCGUUGUUCGGAAUUACUGGGCGUAAAGCGCACGUAGGCGGCUUUGUAAGUUAGAUGUGAAAGCCUGGAGCUCAACUGCAGAAUUGCCUUUAAAACUGCAUCGCUUGAAUCCAGGAGAGGUGAGCGGAAUUCCGAGUGUAGAGGUGAAAUGCGUAGAUAUUAGGAAGAACACCAGUGGCGAAGGCGGCUCACUGGACUGGUAUUGACGCUGAGGUGCGAAAGCGUGGGGAGCAAACAGG